rnacentral:rRNA from 1 species
AUUGAACGCUGGCGGCAGGCCUAACACAUGCAAGUCGAGCGAGAGGCGGACGGGGGAGUAAUGUCUGGGGACUGCCCGAUAGAGGGGGGUAACUCCUGGAAACGGUAGCUAAUACAGCAUACUAUCGGAUAACCCAUAUGGGAUUAGCUAGUAGGUGGGGUAAUGGCUCACCUAGGCGACGCUCCCUAGCUGGUCUGAGAGGAUGAUCAGCCACACUGGGACUGAGACACGGCCCAGACUCCUACGGAGGCAGCAGUGGGGAAUAUUGCACAAUGGGCGCAAGCCUGAUGCAGCCAUGCCGCGUGUAUGAAGAAGGCCCUAGGGUUGUAAAGCACUGUCAGUCGGGAGGCGUUACCGACAGAAUAAGCACCGGCUAACUCCGUGCCAGCCGCCGCGGUAAUUC